rnacentral:rRNA from 1 species
UACGUAGGGUGCGAGCGUUAAUCGGAAUUACUGGGCGUAAGCGUGCGCAGGCGGCUUCGCAAGUCAGACGUGAAAUCCCCGGGCUUAACCUGGGAAGUGGCGUUUGAAACUACGGAGCUGGAGUGUGGCAGAGGGAGGUAGAAUUCCACGUGUAGCGGUGAAAUGCGUAGAUAUGUGGGAGGAAUACCGAUGGCGAAGGCAGCCUCCCUGGGCCAACACUGACGCUCAUGCACGAAAGCGUGGGGAGCAAACAGG